AGAGACAUUUGAGAGAGAGAGAGAGAGAGAGAGAGAGAGAGAGAGAGAGAGAGAGAGAGAGAGAGAGAGAGAGAGAUAGAGAGAGAGAGAGAGAGAGAGAGAGAGAGAGAGAGAGAGAGAGAGAGAGAGAGACUACCAUGCAAUACUAUGAUCAUGCCAUGCAACAAACAAACAAACAAACAAACACUUUACACUACCAUGCAACAUAACAAUAAUAAUAAUAAUAAUAAUAAUAAUAAUAAUAAUAAUAAUAAUAAUAAUAAUAAUAACUACUACUAUUACUAUCCAACUAUCUAUCUAUCUAUCUAUCUAUCUAUCUAUCUAUCUAUUGACAAGCAUACAGGUAAAAUAGCAAUAAUAAUAAUAAUAAUAAUAAUAAUAAUAAUAAUAAUAAUAAUAAUAAUAAUAAUAAUGGGUUAGGUUGGUGCGUGCAUAGGUGCUGUAAUAGUAAUAAUAAUAAUAAUAAUAAUAAUAAUAAUAAUAAUAAUAAUAAUAAUAAUAAUAAUAAUAAUAAUAAUAAUAAUAAUAAUAAUAAUAAUAAAAGUUCAACAAAGCUUCACACAAUGGCUCGAAAAUGCUCCAAAAAAUGCUCCAAAAAAUGGCUUUAAAAAUAUUACAAAAGGCUUCAGGAAAUGUCUCAAAAAAGUGCCUCAAAAAUGUUUUAAAAAUGGCUGAAAAUAAUUAAUAAAUGGCUUCAAAAAUGCUUCAAAAAUGGCUUCAAAAAUAUCACAAAAGGCUUCAAGAAAUGUCUCAAAAACGUGCCUCAAAAAAUGCUUCAAAAAUGACUUAAAAUAUUCAGUACAUGGCUUCAAAAAUGCUUUAAAAAUUAUGAAGAAAUUAAAAAAAUGCUCAUCACAAAGGCCUUCUCACACAUCAAUGCCUCGAAAAUGCUUUAAAAAUAUGAAGAAAUUAAAAAAAUGCUGAUCACAAAGGCUUUCUCACACAUCAAUGCCUCAAAAAUGUUUUAAAAAUAUGAAGAAAUUAAAAAAAUGCUCAUCACAAAGGCUUUCUAACACAUCAAUGCCUCAAAAAUGCUUUAAAAAUAUGAAGAAAUUAAAAAAAUGCUCAUCACAAAGGCCUUCCUCACACAUCAAUGCUUCAAAAAUGCUUUAAAAAUAUGAAAUUAAAAAAAUGCUCGUCACAAAGCCUUCCUCACACAUCAAUGCCUCGAAAAUGCUUGAAAAAUAUGAAGAAAUUAAAAAAAUGCUGAUCACAAAGGCUUUCUCACACAUCAAUGCCUCGAAAAUGCUUUAAAAAUAUGAAGAAAUUAAAAAAAUGCUGAUCACAAAGGCUUUCUCACACAUCAAUGCCUCGAAAAUGCUUUAAAAAUAUGAAGAAAUUAAAAAAAUGCUCAUCUCAAAGCCUUCCUCACACAUCAAUGCCUCGAAAAUGCUUGAAAAAUGUGAAGAAAUUAAAAAAAAUGCUCAUCACAAAGGCUUUCUAACACAUCAAUGCCUCAAAAAUACUUUAAAAAUAUGAAGAAAUUAAAAAAAUGCUCAUCUCAAAGCCUUCCUCACACAUCAAUGCUUCAAAAAUGCUUCAAAAAUGCUUCAUGUUAUUAGUGAGUCAGUGAAUAGGUGUGUGCAUUGAAUAACACAUGAAUGAAUGAAUGAAUAAAUCUAUGGAAACUAUUGAAUGUAUAUAUAUAAAUUACUGCAUUGAAACUGUACUGAAUUUAUAUAUAAGUUGCUCUAUUGAAACUUUCCUGUAUAAAUUAAUUGAUAUAUAUAUAUGAAUUAAUAGAUGAGAUUGUUGAUGAAUAAAAUUAAUUGGUAUAUUAAAGCUACAGAAAAUAUACAUUGAAUUAAAACUUGUAUAUAAAUUAAUUAAUAUAUAUAAGUUGCUCUAUUGAAACUUUCCUGUAUAAAUUAAUUGAUAUAUAUAUAAGAAUUAAUAGAUGAGUUUGUUGAUGAAUAAAAUUAAUUGAUUUACUGAAGCUACAGAAAAUAUACAUUGAAUUAAAACAUAUAUAUAAAUUAAUUAAUAUAUAUAUAAGUUGCUCUAUUGAAACUUUCCUGUAUAAAUUAAUUGAUAUAUAUAUAUGAAUUAAUAGAUGAGUUUGUUGAUGAAUAAAAUUACUUGAUUUACUGAAGCUACAGAAAAUAUACAUUGAAUUAAAACUUGUAUAUAAAUUAAUUAAUAUAUAUAUAAGUUGCUCUAUUGAGACUUUCCUGUAUAAAUUAAUUGAUAUAUAUAUGAAUUAAUAGAUGAGAUUGUUAAUGAGUAAAAUUACUUGAUUUACUGAAGCUAAUGAAAAAAUACAUUAAAUUAAAACUUGUGUAUAAAUUAAUUAAUAUAUUUGAACUUUAAGUAAUUUUUCUACUUGUAAAAAUUGAGGCAAAAAUAUUGAAGCUUGUUAAAUACUAUUACUAAUACUAAUAACGGUAAUUACUCUCAUUAACUUUGCAAAUAAUUAAAAUAGAAUAUAUAUUGCUGACUAGAAAGCAAUUACAGAGAAGAGGAGGAGGAGGAGGAGGAGGAGAAUGAGAAAAAGAGAAAGAAAUAAACAGACCAGGGAGAAGAAGAAGAAGAAGAAGAAGAAGAAGAAGAGGAAGAGGAGGAGGAGGAGGAGGGAGAGAAUGAGAAAAAGAGAAAGAAAUAAACAGACCAGGGAGAAGAAGAAGAAGAAGAAGAAGAAGAAGAAGAGGAGGAGGAGGAAGAGAAAAAAAGAGAAAGAAAUAAACAGACCAGGAAGAAGAAGAAGAAGAAGAAGAAGAAGAAGAAGAAGAGGAGGAGGAGGAAGAGAAAAAAAGAGAAAGAAAUAAACAGACCAGGAAGAAGAAGAAGAAGAAGAAGAAGAAGAAGAGGAGGAGGAGGAGGAGGAA